rnacentral:rRNA from 1 species
UACGUAGGGGGCAAGCGUUGUCCGGAUUUACUGGGCGUAAAGAGCGUGUAGGCGGCCAAACAGGUCCGUUGUGAAAACUGGAGGCUUAACCUCCAGACGUCGACGGAAACCGUGUGGCUAGAGUCCGGAAGAGGAGAGUGGAAUUCCUGGUGUAGCGGUGAAAUGCGCAGAUAUCAGGAAGAACACCAAUGGCGAAGGCAGCUC